ACCUUUUACCCAUAUUUAUUCAAUGAAAUAGCAUGGUUUCAUAAUUGUCUCCUAAUUUGUGCUUAAAUGUGAAAACAUGCUUUCUAGGUCUUAAAAUAGCUAAAUUUAAUUUGCCUUGAUUCCAUUAGAUGCCUUGACAUAUUUGUUAAGUGAUUUCAGAUUUAGGAGGCAAAGAUUGGAUCAAGGGAAUGAAAGAAAAGUAUGUAAAAAUGGAGAACUCAUGAAGAAAUGAAGGAAUUGCAAAAGCUGUCAAGCCGACCUCUUCGCACUCAAUCGACCAUAACUUGAGCUACAAAGGUCCAAAUGAUGCGAUUCUAGUUGUGCUGGAAAGAUAAUAUCCGGGUCUUCGAAAUGAUAUAAGAUUUACCAUAGUUGCAUCGCAGAUAGGGGCCGCACGCGCAUGGUAC
rnacentral:lncRNA from 1 species